rnacentral:rRNA from 1 species
UACGUAGGGUGCAAGCGUUGUCCGGAAUUAUUGGGCGUAAAGAGCUCGUAGGCGGUCUGUCGCGUCGGAUGUGAAAACCCAGGGCUCAACCCUGGGCCUGCAUUCGAUACGGGCAGACUAGAGUUCGGUAGGGGAGACUGGAAUUCCUGGUGUAGCGGUGAAAAUGCGCAGAUAUCAGGAGGAACACCGGUGGCGAAGGCGGGGUCUCUGGGGCCGAAACUGACGCUGAGGAGCGAAAGCGUGGGGGAGCAAACAGG